UACAGAGGGUGCGAGCGUUGUCCGGAAUUACUGGGCGUAAAGGGCGCGUAGGCGGCUUGGUAAGUCGGGGGUGAAAGUCAGCGGCUCAACCGCUGGACUGCCUUCGAGACUGCCUGGCUUGAGCAUGGUAGAGGCUGGCGGAAUUCCCGGUGUAGCGGUGGAAUGCGUAGAGAUCGGGAAGAACAUCGGUGGCGAAGGCGGGUCUCUGGGCCGAUAUCGACGCUGAGGAGCGAAAGCGUGGGGAGCGAACAGG
rnacentral:rRNA from 1 species